GCGAGUGAGGCUGAACCGAACAAUCAGGGAUCGGCGACUCCAUUUCCGACAUCAAGGACGACACGGUCACAUCUGAGUUGAGGGUUUAAAGACUUAGGGUUAGGUUUAAAUUUGAUUUCUAGAAGAAGAAGAAGAAGAAGAAGAAGAAGGACCUUUUUUUAGGGUAUUCAUUUCUGUUGAUGUGCUAGAUCUACGGGAAUGAAGUACACUGGAGAAGUGGAUGAACUGUGGCACACCGUAGGAUGUGAGACGUGUCACAGUUGAGGGAUGGGAUGCCUCACUCCCCCACUUUUGGAAGCUAAGCUAAACUUGACUUUGAUUUGAAAACAGUAGCUUGAUUUUAGUAAUCUGACAGGUGUUUGUUUGUAAUCAUCAGCCAGCGAUGGCCGAUGGAAGGCCCUUCCGGUUUCUUCCUUCCGCUUCCUUCCUUCCUCACUCCUCUCUCUAUUGUCUUUUAUCACUUUAUUAUCAGUGUUCUACCCUCUCUGUGGGUCAUUGGUUUGUAGCGGAGAUCAUGUCAUCCUCUACGCUGUCUUCACUCUUCCGAAGGAGAUUUCAGUAUUAUUUCUCUACUCGGAGGAGGAAGAAGACGUAGCAGUUUCGGCAAGCUCAUGUGUAUCUGAGCGGGAUGCAUGGAUUGAAGAACUGGGACUGGAAUUUCUUCUUCUCUUUGCGAUUGUGAAAAUUAUGAGUACUGGGAAUUAUAUUACCGGGAAGAGAAGUUUUUCAGCUUUGCCUGGGCAUUGUUUGACAACGAGAGAGAGCACGCUGGUCGGCUGUCAUGCAAGGAUCAUGAUUAAUCUACAUGCGUGCUCUCCCUCGUUAUCAUGACUGUUAGCUCACCAAAGCUGUUCUUUUCCUUCUCCAAAUGCCUGCAUGCUGCCUAUUGUCUACCACAUGAAAUACUGACCUGUGGAGAACUUAUUUCGCUUCUGAAGAACUAGCACGGUUGAAUCUGAACGCGUUUCUUUUUUUUUUUCUUAGUCCUUUUGGUGUUAUUUUUUAACUUUUCUUUUUUCUGGUAUAUUCUUAGUGCUUAUUUAUGUUUAUUUGAUGGAGUUAAAUGAGUUAUAGAUCACUUUGUUAAACUUCUGCAAGCUAUGGUUAUCUGAAUGAUAAAUUCUAUCAAUUGUGAGUACUUUUCAUGGCUA